AGUUAUAUAUUCAAGAGGUCUAUAUUAAUUAAGUACCAUUCCAAAUUAUAUCGAUAGUCACAUAUUUGGAAUAAAUACAAAUAAUUUUAUUUAAAACGGUACAAUUAAGAGAACAAAACCUAUAUCCAACUGUAUACCAAUAAGAAUUUAUUUCUCAAAGCUGUAAUGUAUGGAAAUAUAUAGAAAACUUAUAAAAAUUCGUGGAAGUUUAAGUAGUAUUGGAAUAAUUGGGUUCAAAUAAAAUAAAUGUAUAUUUCAAGACACCAAUCUUUUCCGUAGGUUAAAGAAUAACCUACAACCAAUUAUUUAUUUUUCUAAUCCCUGGAGAGGUCUAGUAGAGCGGUUAUGAAACGAAACGAAAGAAUAUCUAUUAAUGUCCAUAUGUAUAUUUUUUCAAAAUAAAUUACAGUAACAUACUACAUAUAAAAAUUGA